rnacentral:rRNA from 1 species
GACGACGCUGGCGGCGUGCUUAACACAUGCAAGUCGAACGGUGACGAGGAGCUUGCUCCUCCGAUCAGUGGCGAACGGGUGAGUAACACGUGAGCAACCUGCCCCAGACUCUAGGGAUAACAGUUGGAAACAGCUGCUAAUACCGGAUACGGAGACGGAGAGGCAUCUCUACCGUCUGGAAAGUUUUUCGGUCUGGGAUGGACGUCGCGGCCUAUCAGCUAGUUGGUGAGGUAAUGGCUCACCAAGGCGACGACGGGUAGCCGGCCUGAGAGGGCGACCGGCCGACACUGGGACUGAGACACGGCCCAGACUCCUACGGGAGGCAGCAGUGGGGAAUAUUGGCGCAAUGGGCGAAAGCCUGACGCAGCAACGCCGCGUGGGGGAUGAAGGCCUUCGGGUUGUAAACCUCUUUCAGCAGGGAAGAAGCGAAAGUGACGGUACCUGCAGAAGAAGCACCGGCUAACUACGUG